rnacentral:rRNA from 1 species
GGCCUAUCAGCUAGUUGGUGGGGUAACGGCCUACCAAGGCGACGACGGGUAGCCGGCCUGAGAGGGCGACCGGCCACACUGGGACUGAGACACGGCCCAGACUCCUACGGGAGGCAGCAGUGGGGAAUAUUGCGCAAUGGGCGAAAGCCUGACGCAGCGACGCCGCGUGGGGGAUGACUGCCUUCGGGUUGUAAACCCCUUUCAGCAGGGACGAAGCUUUCGGGUGACGGUACCUGCAGAAGAAGCGCCGGCUAACUACGUGCCAGCAGCCGCGGUAACACGUAGGGCGCAAGCGUUGUCCGGAAUCAUUGGGCGUAAAGGGCGCGUAGGCGGUGUACACAGUCAGGCGUGAAAUUCCCGGGCUCAACCUGGGGGCUGCGCUUGAUACAUGUACGCUUGAGUUCGGAAGAGGGUCGUGGAAUUCCCAGUGUAGAGGUGAAAUUCGUAGAUAUUGGGAAGAACACCGGUGGCGAAGGCGGCGACCUGGUCCGAUACUGACGCUGAGGCGCGAAAGCGUGGGGAGCA